rnacentral:rRNA from 1 species
GGUUAAGCGACUAAGCGUACACGGUGGAUGCCCUGGCAGUCAGAGGCGAUGAAGGACGUGCUAAUCUGCGAUAAGCGCCGGUAAGGUGAUAUGAACCGUUAUAACCGGCGAUUUCCGAAUGGGGAAACCCAGUGUGAUUCGUCACACUAUCAUUAACUGAAUCCAUAGGUUAAUGAGGCGAACCGGGGGAACUGAAACAUCUAAGUACCCCGAGGAAAAGAAAUCAACCGAGAUUCCCCCAGUAGCGGCGAGCGAACGGGGAGGAGCCCAGAGCCUGAAUCAGCAUGUGUGUUAGUGGAAGCGUCUGGAAAGGCGCGCGAUACAGGGUGACAGCCCCGUACACAAAAGCGCAUGUGCUGUGAGCUCGAUGAGUAGGGCGGGACACGUGGUAUCCUGUCUGAAUAUGGGGGGACCAUCCUCCAAGGCUAAAUACUCCUGACUGACCGAUAGUGAACCAGUACCGUGAGGGAAAGGCGAAAAGAACCCCGGCGAGGGGAGUGAAAAAGAACCUGAAACCGUGUACGUACAAGCAGUGGGAGCACCCUUCGGGGUGUGACUGCGUACCUUUUGUAUAAUGGGUCAGCGACUUAUAUUCUGUAGCAAGGUUAACCGUAUAGGGGAGCCGGAGGGAAACCGAGUCUUAAUUGGGCGUUAAGUUGCAGGGUAUAGACCCGAAACCCGGUGAUCUAGCCAUGGGCAGGUUGAAGGUUGGGUAACACUAACUGGAGGACCGAACCGACUAAUGUUGAAAAAUUAGCGGAUGACCUGUGGCUGGGGGUGAAAGGCCAAUCAAACCGGGAGAUAGCUGGUUCUCCCCGAAAGCUAUUUAGGUAGCGCCUCGUGAAUUCAUCUCCGGGGGUAGAGCACUGUUUCGGCUAGGGGGCCAUCCCGGCUUACCAACCCGAUGCAAACUGCGAAUACCGGAGAAUGUUAUCACGGGAGACACACGGCGGGUGCUAACGUCCGUCGUGAAGAGGGAAACAACCCAGACCGCCAGCUAAGGUCCCAAAGUCAUGGUUAAGUGGGAAACGAUGUGGGAAGGCCCAGACAGCCAGGAUGUUGGCUUAGAAGCAGCCAUCAUUUAAAGAAAGCGUAAUAGCUCACUGGUCGAGUCGGCCUGCGCGGAAGAUGUAACGGGGCUAAACCAUGCACCGAAGCUGCGGCAGCGAACGUAUCACCCAAGACAACUUUACGGAGUUGACGAUUGACGGAGCGAAGCGACGUCAAAGCGUUCAUUAAAGUCGAGUUGGCUUAGGGAUACGUUCGUUGGGUAGGGGAGCGUUCUGUAAGCCUGUGAAGGUGUGUCGUGAGGCAUGCUGGAGGUAUCAGAAGUGCGAAUGCUGACAUAAGUAACGAUAAAGCGGGUGAAAAGCCCGCUCGCCGGAAGACCAAGGGUUCCUGUCCAACGUUAAUCGGGGCAGGGUGAGUCGACCCCUAAGGCGAGGCCGAAAGGCGUAGUCGAUGGGAAACGGGUUAAUAUUCCCGUACUUGGUGUUACUGCGAAGGGGGGACGGAGAAGGCUAUGUUGGCCGGGCGACGGUUGUCCCGGUUUAAGCGUGUAGGUGUGUGUUCCAGGUAAAUCCGGUUCACUUUAACACUGAGGCGUGACGACGAGGCACUACGGUGCUGAAGCAACAAAUGCCCUGCUUCCAGGAAAAGCCUCUAAGCAUCAGGUAACACGAAAUCGUACCCCAAACCGACACAGGUGGUCAGGUAGAGAAUACCAAGGCGCUUGAGAGAACUCGGGUGAAGGAACUAGGCAAAAUGGUGCCGUAACUUCGGGAGAAGGCACGCUGACACGUAGGUGAAGUGAUUUACUCAUGGAGCUGAAGUCAGUCGAAGAUACCAGCUGGCUGCAACUGUUUAUUAAAAACACAGCACUGUGCAAACACGAAAGUGGACGUAUACGGUGUGACGCCUGCCCGGUGCCGGAAGGUUAAUUGAUGGGGUCAGCGUAAGCGAAGCUCCUGAUCGAAGCCCCGGUAAACGGCGGCCGUAACUAUAACGGUCCUAAGGUAGCGAAAUUCCUUGUCGGGUAAGUUCCGACCUGCACGAAUGGCGUAAUGAUGGCCAGGCUGUCUCCACCCGAGACUCAGUGAAAUUGAACUCGCUGUGAAGAUGCAGUGUACCCGCGGCAAGACGGAAAGACCCCGUGAACCUUUACUAUAGCUUGACACUGAACAUUGAGCCUUGAUGUGUAGGAUAGGUGGGAGGCUUUGAAGUGUGGACGCCAGUCUGCAUGGAGCCGACCUUGAAAUACCACCCUUUAAUGUUUGAUGUUCUAACGUGGACCCGUAAUCCGGGUUGCGGACAGUGUCUGGUGGGUAGUUUGACUGGGGCGGUCUCCUCCUAAAGAGUAACGGAGGAGCACGAAGGUUGGCUAAUCCUGGUCGGACAUCAGGAGGUUAGUGCAAUGGCAUAAGCCAGCUUGACUGCGAGCGUGACGGCGCGAGCAGGUGCGAAAGCAGGUCAUAGUGAUCCGGUGGUUCUGAAUGGAAGGGCCAUCGCUCAACGGAUAAAAGGUACUCCGGGGAUAACAGGCUGAUACCGCCCAAGAGUUCAUAUCGACGGCGGUGUUUGGCACCUCGAUGUCGGCUCAUCACAUCCUGGGGCUGAAGUAGGUCCCAAGGGUAUGGCUGUUCGCCAUUUAAAGUGGUACGCGAGCUGGGUUUAGAACGUCGUGAGACAGUUCGGUCCCUAUCUGCCGUGGGCGCUGGAGAACUGAGGGGGGCUGCUCCUAGUACGAGAGGACCGGAGUGGACGCAUCACUGGUGUUCGGGUUGUCAUGCCAAUGGCACUGCCCGGUAGCUAAAUGCGGAAGAGAUAAGUGCUGAAAGCAUCUAAGCACGAAACUUGCCCCGAGAUGAGUUCUCCCUGAGACUUAGAGUCUCCUGAAGGAACGUUGAAGACGACGACGUUGAUAGGCCGGGUGUGUAAGCGCAGCGAUGCGUUGAGCUAACCGGUACUAAUGAACCGUGAGGCUUAACCUUAC